UUGAGCGAGAGAGCUCUCUCCUCCUCCUCCUCCUCCAAAACCCUAGAAAACGAACCAAACCUUCAAAUCCCCUGAUAGAUCUUCAUACAUUCUUUGCAUUUGAGAUGAAAGUAACAUAGAUCUUGGAUUCAAACAAGCACACGAGCACCACCAUCGACCACCACCAGCCGCUGCCAUUCCGAGCUUGGAGUUCGAUUCCGAGCUUGGAGUUCAUUUCUGAUUCUAAGCCCCUUCCACGGAUUCGAUUAAUUGGUGUUUGCAUAUCUAUUCGAUUAAUUCGAUUCAAAGCCUUGAAUUCAUGUGUUCCGAUUCUCCUCUCUCAUCUCUCUUUGAUUUUGAUUUCUAGGGUUUUCAUGCCCUUAUUGAAUGUGUUUUCACUUCUGUGAUUACUCGUUUUGGGAUUGAACAAAAAGGACAUCUUUGCGAUCGCUUCAGUCAAAGUCUACUUCGAAGAACGUUUUGACGGCAUGGUCUGACUUGUUAAAUUGGUGGAAUCUUUAGUGGGUUCCGCCUAGGACAGUUGAAGGUGUGCUCUAGUGGUGGUUUGGAGUUGAGCUUGGCAAAAUGGAAUUGAAAAUUUGGAGAGCUGUACUUGCUAUUUUGUCCUGGUCAGUUCAGAAACUCAGGAAUGAUUGUGUGUUUAGUGCUCAGUUUACUAGUGAGGAGUUGAGUGAAGUUGUGAUGACUAGAAUUGCUCUUUGUACAAAAUCCUAUUUAAAGGGGCUGUCUUAUUCAGCUCAGGAUCUGAUCUCUAAUCUCAGUCAGGUUAGGCAGUGCAUUGGUGGAGGAUUUAGAGGCGAGGGAAUUGCUUAGUGGCUAUUACUGGUUUGCUGGUUCGCUGGUUCGCUUGGUGGUUGCUCUUGCUUAUUGGUUGCCUUUGUUGUUGUUGUUUGUUUUAGCCUCUAUUUGUGGUUGUCUUCUUUGUUUGUUGGUCUCUCACCCACUUUGGGCAGGAGCAAGCAAAUGAUUGGGUGAUAUUCCCAGUGCCAACCUAGUUUGGAUUUGAAAUUCCAUUUUGAUGCUUUUUGCUCUUGCCUUC